rnacentral:rRNA from 1 species
AAAAACAUCGCUCCUUGAAAUUAAAUAAUAAGGAGUCGGACCUGCCCAGUGAAAUUUUUUAACGGCCGCGGUACUCUGACCGUGCAAAGGUAGCAUAAUCAUUUGCCUUAUAAUUGAAGGCUAGUAUGAAUGGUUUGACAAGAAUAUAGCUGUCUCUUUAUGAUUCAAUAGAAUUUUAUUUAUAGGUGAAGAAGCCUAUAUUAGAUUAAAAGACAAGAAGACCCUAUCGAGCUUACAAAGAAUUUAAUAGAAUUUAAAUUAAUAUAAUUAAAAAAUUAUCUAUUACACAUUUUAGUUGGGGCGACUGAGGAACACAUAAAGCUUCCUUUAAAAUUUAUUUAAAAUUCUAACUAGAGUUGAUCCAAACGUUUUGAUUAAAGGAAUUAGUUACCGUAGGGAUAACAGCAUUAUCUUUUUUGAGAGCCCAUAUCGAAAAAAAGGUUUGUGACCUCGAUGUGGACCAGAAUAUCCUAAAGAUGCAGCAGUCUUAAGGGUGGGUCUGUUCGACCAUUAAAAUUCUACAUGA